AUGAUGGGCACAGUAACAGUAACAAACUCAGAGACAUUUACAGUCACACACAGGUGUAGUUUACAUAGCUAUAGAAGAAUUGACGUUCGCGUUUUUUUUUUUUUUUUAUAUUUAACUUACAGAUCUCAGUUUAAAUGCUUCAGUUUCUAUUCUAUUGUAUUCUAUUCUAUCAGUUUAAAUGCUUCAGUUUCUAUUCUAUUCUAUCAGUUUAAAUGCUUGUUUCUAUUCUAUUCUAUUCUAUUCUAUUCUAUUCUAUUCUAUUCUAUUCUAUCAGUUUAAAUGCUUCAGUUUGUUUUGAUAUUAUAUUAUGUUAGGCCUAUAUUAUAAACCUAAUAAAUAAUUGACCUUGUUUUUAAUGGAGUCUCUGCUCAUCAAGGAUGUAUUUAUUUUAUCGAAAAUACAGAAGAAAAAAAACAGUAAUAUUGUGAAACAUUAUUGCAAUUUCUAAUAUUGGUUUCCUGUUUUAAUAUACUUUAAAAUAAAUUUAUUCCCGAGGAGCAAAACUGAAUUUUCAGCAUCAUUACUCCAGCCUUCAGUGUCAUAUUAUCCUUCAGAAAUCAUUCUAAUAUGCUGAUUUACUAUCAGUGUUGUCCUUCAGAAUACAUUCUAAUCUGCUAAUUUAUUAUCAGUGAAUGUAAUCUGUUGUGCUGCUUAAUAUUUUACUUUUUUUUUUUUUGUAACGUUUUACUUUUUCUUUGAUUCUUAGAUUAAUAAAAAGUUAAAAAGAACAGCGUUUAUUCAAAAUAGAAAUCUUUUCUAAAAAUAUGUCUUUAUUAUCACUUUUUAUCCAUUUAACACAUUCUUGCUGAAUAAAAGUAUUAAUUUCUUUAAAAAAAGAAAAAAAAAUAUUGACCACAAACAUUUUAGUAGUGUAUAUUGUAACACAAAAUUCUAUUUUGAAUAAACACUGUCCUUUUUAACUUUUUAUUUAUCAAAGAAUCCCGAAAAAAAUACCACAAGUCCCAAAAAACAUUGGGUUUCCAACACUGAUUAUAAAUCAGCAUACAACAGUUUCCAGCACUGAUAAUAAAUCAGCAUAUUAGAAUGAUUUCUGAAGGAUCAUGUGACACUGAAGACUGGAGUAAUGAUGCUGAAAAUUGCUUUGCUUCAUAGGAAUAAAUUAUAUUUUAAAGUAUAUUAAAAUAGAAAACUUUUAUUUUAAAUUGCAAUAAUAUUUCACAGUAUUAUUUUGUGAAAUAAUAUUCAGUAAGUUUUAUUAGGUAAUCUAAAAUGUACAUCAUUUAGUCACGGGUCAAAUCAAAUACAAAUAGCACAUUAAAGUUUAAAGUUACACACUUUUUUUGUGUGCGCGCUGUACAGGUCUGGUAUAAACAAUGUUUUUGCACAGGUGGCCAAAAUGUCCGCCCAAUAGAGAAAAGUUUUGGUCAGCAAGAAAAAAAAAUUAGAGGGAACAUUGCACUCAACUCUUCUUCUCAUUCCAACCAGAUGAUCCGACAGUAGCUGCUCACAUUGCAGCCUGUC
rnacentral:lncRNA from 1 species